AAUGCUUUCAACCUUAUGGAAUAAGGAAUCUAUUUUCCCCGACAGUGCUGAGUAAGUAUCUACUUCAUACACCCCAGGUGCUCUCUUCUGAACUACUCGAUCUGUAGACCACAUAGCUGAAGUUGUAGCCAUCCUUUCAAACAACUCCCAGGCCCCGUCAAUUGUUCUUGUAGAGAUAGACCCGUCAGAUGAUGCAUCCACCAUACUCUUGAAUGAUGGGAGUAAUCCAGUGUAGAAAAACCUGAUCUGAGUCUUCUUGUCAAAGCCAUGUUGUGGGCACUUCCUUAACAUGUUCUUGAAACGGUUCCANN
rnacentral:lncRNA from 1 species